UAACUAGCAUAAAUUUGAUAAAUGAACAAAUGAAAGACUUCCCUGAAUUAUGUGGCCAGACCUAUGAAAAGCAGCACUCAACAGUUCCCUUCAAAGCUGUUCCCUCUGUUACUAAAGAAAGCAUUUGGAGGUGGUCUACCAAAGAGCCAGUGUGAUAUGCCAGAAACAGCCCAAGACGUGGAGUAAAAGAACUGGGUUGGGGACCCAGGGUCUCCAAGGUUUAACCUUGAACAGAUCAUCCAACCUAUCUGAGCCUCCAUGAAAUGAAAGUUGUAAAGCCCACAUCACACAGCCACUGUGGAGCUCACAGCUACAAAUCCCUGUCUAGAUGAAUGGAAGUCAUUGUUGUUGCUUCAUAGUCUCAACCUAUCUGAAAGUCUCUGAUGCAGUGUUCAGGUGCCACCUGCAUACCACACGUGGCCAAAGGCAGACUUCACCUGCUCCCUGCUGGUGAAGAGCAGCACUGCACCUCCUGUCUGACACUGGAGCCUC
rnacentral:lncRNA from 1 species